rnacentral:rRNA from 2 species
AGAGUUUGAUCCUGGCUCAGAACGNACGCUGGCGGCACGCCUAACACAUGCAAGUCGAACGAAGUAGCAAUACUUAGUGGCAGACGGGUGAGUAACAUGUGGGUAUCUGCCCUUUGGCCUGGAAUAACACGAGGAAACUUGUGCUAAUACCGGAUAAGUCUUUACGGAGAAAGCUUUAUGCACCAUUGGAUGAGCCUGCACUUGAUUAGUUUGUUGGUGGGGUAAUGGCCUACCAAGACUUUGAUCAAUAGCUGAUUUGAGAGGAUGAUCAGCCACAUUGGGACUGAGACACGGCCCAAACUCCUACGGGAGGCAGCAGUGGGGAAUCUUGCACAAUGGAGGAAACUCUGAUGCAGCGAUGCCGCGUGAGUGAAGAAGGCCCUUGGGUUGUAAAGCUCUUUCGNCGGGGAAGAAAAUGACUGUACCCCAAUAAGAAGGUCCCGCUAACUUCGUGCCAGCAGCCGCGGUAAUACGAAGGGACCUAGCGUAGUUCGGAAUUACUGGGCUUAAAGAGUUCGUAGGUGGUUGAAAAAGUUGGUGGUGAAAUCCCAGAGCUUAACUCUGGAACUGCCAUCAAAACUUUUCAGCUAGAGUAUGAUAGAGGAAAGCAGAAUUUCUNGUGUAGAGGUGAAAUUCGUAGAUAUUAGAAAGAAUACCAAUUGCGAAGGCAGCUUUCUGGAUCAUUACUGACACUGAGGAACGAAAGCAUGGGUAGCGAAGAGGAUUAGAUACCCUCGUAGUCCAUGCCGUAAACGAUGUGUGUUAGACGUUGGAAAUUUAUUUUCAGUGUCGCAGCGGAAAGCGAUAAACACACCGCCUGGGGAGUACGACCGCAAGGUUAAAACUCAAAUGAAUUGACGGGGACCCGCACAAGUAGUGGAGCAUGUGGUUUAAUUCGAAGAUACGCGCAGAACCUUACCAACACUUGACAUGUUCGUCGCGACUCUAAGAGAUUAGAGUUUUCGGUUCGGCCGGACGAAACACAGGUGCUGCAUGGCUGUCGUCAGCUCGUGUCGUGAGAUGUUGGGUUAAGUCCCGCAACGAGCGCAACCCUCACUUUUAGUUGCCAUCAUUAAGUUGGGCACUCUGAAAGAACUGCCAGUGAUAAGCUGGAGGAAGGUGGGGAUGACGUCAAGUCCUCAUGGCCCUUACGUGUUGGGCUACACACGUGCUACAAUGGUAUCUACAACAGGAAGCAAGACGGCGACGUUAAGCAAAUCCUUAAAAGAUACCUCAGUUCGGAUUGCACUCUGCAACUCGAGUGCAUGAAGCUGGAAUUACUAGUAAUCGGGAUCAGCGUGCCACGGNGAAUGCGUUCCCGGGUCUUGUACACACCGCCCGUCACACCAUGGGAGUUGGUUCUACCUUAAGGCAAGGUUUAAAACCCUUGACCACGGUAUAGUCAGCGACUGGGGUGAAGUCGUAACAAGGUAGCCGUAGGGGAACUGCGGCUGGAUCACCUCCUU